GCCGGGUGUGGAGGCUCACACCUGUAAUCCCAGCACCUUAGGAGGCCGAGGCAGGCGGAUCACCUGAGGUCGGGAGUUCAAGACCAGCCUGACCAACAUGGAGAAACCCUGUCUCUA
ensembl:misc_RNA Metazoa_SRP Metazoan signal recognition particle RNA